GAGUUUGAUCAUGGCUCAGGACGAACGCUGGCGGCACGCCUAACACAUGCAAGUCGAACGGAGAUAUUUUGGUUUACUGAGAUAUYUUAGUGGCGGACGGGUGAGUAACACGUGAGCAACCUGCCUYUGAGAGAGGGAUAGCUUCUGGAAACGGAUGGUAAUACCUCAUAACAUAACGAAGCCGCAUGACUUUGUUAUCAAAGAUUUAUCACUCAGAGAUGGGCUCGCGUYUGAUUAAAUAGUUGGUGAGGUAACGGCUCACCAAGUCGACGAUCAGUAGCCGGACUGAGAGGUUGAACGGCCACAUUGGGACUGAGACACGGCCCAGACUCCUACGGGAGGCAGCAGUGGGGAAUAUUGCACAAUGGGGGAAACCCUGAUGCAGCGAUGCCGCGUGGAGGAAGAAGGUUUUCGGAUUGUAAACUCCUGUCUAAAGGACGAUAAUGACGGUACUAGAGAG
rnacentral:rRNA from 1 species